rnacentral:rRNA from 1 species
UCUUUGACUUGAGCAUUUGUCUUUUAUGAUACGUUUUCAAAGAGUCAGGUUGUUUGGGAAUGCAGCCUAAAUUGGGUGGUAAAUCUCACCUAAAGCUAAAUAUUGGCGAGAGACCGAUAGCGAACAAGUACCGUGAGGGAAAGAUGAAAAGAACUUUGAAAAGAGAGUUAAACAGUAUGUGAAAUUGUUAAAAGGGAACCGUUUGGAGCCAGACUGGCUUGGUUGUAAUCAAUCUGGGUUUUUUCCUUGAUGCACUUGCAAUCUAUGCCUGCCAACGGCAGUUUUCUUCAAUAGGGAGAAAACUAGCAGGAAUGUAGGUCGGCCUUCGGGUUGGCUGUUAUAGACUGUUAGAUAAUACCUUGAAGGGGACUGAGGAUCGCAGCGGAUGCUUAGGCGGUUCUGGGUGCUUUAUUUUUGCUUAUGCCGGUGAAAUUUCUAUUUAGGUAGUGUCAUCAGUAUCGGCGAGAAUACGGUAUCUUUUGAAUCUAAUUCGCUUAGGUCGUUGGCUUAAUGACUCUAAAUGACCCGUCUUGAAACACGGACCAAGGAGUCCACCAUAAGUGCAAGUGUUUGAGUGCCAAACUCAUACGCGUAAGGAAACUGAAUAAAGAUAUGAAGCCGCAGGCAGCAAUAUCACCCGGCGCUGACGU